rfam:Eutrema salsugineum unplaced genomic scaffold scaffold_12, whole genome shotgun sequence.
AAUCCAUAGGGAGGGCACUGGUUUGUAUAGCUUCUGAAUCUCUCCCAGGUUUCACCAAGUGUCUCAAUGUUGUGUUGGGUGAAGGAAGAGAUCUGAUUCCUGAGCUU